AAAUUCAUUUGCCUUCUUUGUAAAAAAAUAUUCAGCUUUAAUUGAAAUCACAGAGAAACGCAAUGGAAGGUUAUGGGCCAAGGAACCGCAUUGACCAGUUUAGAGACUGGCAAGUUUAUAUAUGGACCAGUUAUUUAUAAUGGUAGAUCAUCUGAUGGCAUUAUCUGCUUUACAUGAUCAGCAUGCAGUCCAUUUACAAUUGCUUAAUUAUGUUUCCAAGGAAAUACAUUGGAUGGAUGUGUGCCAAGCAACCACAUAGGUCAUUUCAGAGACUAAUUGAAGAAAGAUCCGAUCUUUCAUUUGAGAUGUUCAUCAUCUCUGAAGCAUGAAGAAAGAUCCAAGAAAUUUUAUGUAUCUUGAUAAUUUUGCAAUGUUGCGUACAAUGUGCAACAGUUUGGAGCUCUGGCAGCACACAUUGGAGAUAAUGCUCUUCUUUCAGGUGCAAUACAUGAGAAGAGUUUUUGUCAAUGGAACUAUUCCCAGCUAAAUAGGUCAAUGCACCUGUCCAGCAAAUAUAAUUAAUCUACAGCAAGUGAGUCCAGCUAAAGGUCAAACGAGCAAAAAUCCCAGAUUGAUGAGCCAAAUAGUUCAUGUGGAAAAAUAUAUUUUGUGUCUAGGCGUGGCCACGAACCUGACGUAAAAUAUAGUAGUAGUCAUCUAUUU